rnacentral:rRNA from 1 species
AUUGAACGCUGGCGGCAGGCUUAACACAUGCAAGUCGAGCGGAGAGAGGUAGCUUGCUACUGAUCUUAGCGGCGGACGGGUGAGUAAUGCUUAGGAAUCUGCCUAUUAGUGGGGGACAACAUUUCGAAAGGAAUGCUAAUACCGCAUACGUCCUACGGGAGAAAGCAGGGGAUCUUCGGACCUUGCGCUAAUAGAUGAGCCUAAGUCGGAUUAGCUAGUUGGUGGGGUAAAGGCCUACCAAGGCGACGAUCUGUAGCGGGUCUGAGAGGAUGAUCCGCCACACUGGGACUGAGACACGGCCCAGACUCCUACGGGAGGCAGCAGUGGGGAAUAUUGGACAAUGGGCGCAAGCCUGAUCCAGCCACGCCGCGUGUGUGAAGAAGGCCUUAUGGUUGUAAAGCACUUUAAGCGAGGAGGAGGCUACUUUAGAUAAUACCUAGAGAUAGUGGACGUUACUCGCAGAAUAAGCACCGGCUAACUCUGUGCCAGCAGCCGCGGUAAUACAGAGGGUGCAAGCGUUAAUCGGAUUUACUGGGCGUAAAGCGCGCGUAGGCGGCUAAUUAAGUCAAAUGUGAAAUCCCCGAGCUUAACUUGGGAAUUGCAUUCGAUACUGGUUAGCUAGAGUGUGGGAGAGGAUGGUAGAAUUCCAGGUGUAGCGGUGAAAUGCGUAGAGAUCUGGAGGAAUACCGAUGGCGAAGGCAGCCAUCUGGCCUAACACUGACGCUGAGGUGCGAAAGCAUGGGGAGCAAACAGGAUUAGAUACCCUGGUAGUCCAUGCCGUAAACGAUGUCUACUAGCCGUUGGGGCCUUUGAGGCUUUAGUGGCGCAGCUAACGCGAUAAGUAGACCGCCUGGGGAGUACGGUCGCAAGACUAAAACUCAAAUGAAUUGACGGGGGCCCGCACAAGCGGUGGAGCAUGUGGUUUAAUUCGAUGCAACGCGAAGAACCUUACCUGGCCUUGACAUAGUAAGAACUUUCCAGAGAUGGAUUGGUGCCUUCGGGAACUUACAUACAGGUGCUGCAUGGCUGUCGUCAGCUCGUGUCGUGAGAUGUUGGGUUAAGUCCCGCAACGAGCGCAACCCUUUUCCUUAUUUGCCAGCGAGUAAUGUCGGGAACUUUAAGGAUACUGCCAGUGACAAACUGGAGGAAGGCGGGGACGACGUCAAGUCAUCAUGGCCCUUACGGCCAGGGCUACACACGUGCUACAAUGGUCGGUACAAAGGGUUGCUACCUAGCGAUAGGAUGCUAAUCUCAAAAAGCCGAUCGUAGUCCGGAUUGGAGUCUGCAACUCGACUCUAUGAAGUCGGAAUCGCUAGUAAUCGCGGAUCAGAAUGCCGCGGUGAAUACGUUCCCGGGCCU